CGCUCAAUCGGGGGUUCGAAUCCAGGAGCAGCUGUUCGGAAAAUGCUGCGUAAAGUGGCAACCAAUGAGGUCCUGGGUGCAUUCAGCCUUCGGGGGAAGAAAUCAAAACUAGCCUUCCAAGACCUCAGGAUUUGUUCCAUUAUUAUAGGAGCAACACAGAAGAAUUUUAAAUCACUGAAGUCAGUUGAGGUGGAGGAUCUGAUUUCACUGGCCCUAAAAUUUGCCCCCCACAGGAAUUGAAAAUGAUGACUGAGGCAGAAGAAGAGAAAGACGAGUACAGUGGAAAAUGAUUAUAAACAUUUUGUAGUUAGUUGG